rnacentral:rRNA from 1 species
GAUGAACGCUGGCGGCGUGCCUAAUACAUGCAAGUCGAGCGAACAGAUAAGGAGCUUGCUCCUUUGACGUUAGCGGCGGACGGGUGAGUAACACGUGGGUAACCUACCUAUAAGACUGGGAUAACUUCGGGAAACCGGAGCUAAUACCGGAUAACAUUUGGAACCGCAUGGUUCUAAAGUGAAAGAUGGUUUUGCUAUCACUUAUAGAUGGACCCGCGCCGUAUUAGCUAGUUGGUAAGGUAACGGCUUACCAAGGCGACGAUACGUAGCCGACCUGAGAGGGUGACCGGCCACACUGGAACUGAGACACGGUCCAGACUCCUACGGGAGGCAGCAGUAGGGAAUCUUCCGCAAUGGGCGAAAGCCUGACGGAGCAACGCCGCGUGAGUGAUGAAGGGUUUCGGCUCGUAAAACUCUGUUAUUAGGGAAGAACAAACGUGUAAGUAACUGUGCACGUCUUGACGGUACCUAAUCAGAAAGCCACGGCUAACUACGUG